rnacentral:rRNA from 1 species
UACGAAGGGGGCUAGCGUUGCUCGGAAUCACUGGGCGUAAAGGGUGCGUAGGCGGGUCUUUAAGUCAGGGGUGAAAUCCCUGGGCUCAACCUGGGAAUGGCAGUGGAUACUGGACGGCUAGAAUGCGGUAGAGGGUAGUGGAAUUCCCGGUGUAGCAGUGAAAUGCGUAGAGAUCGGGAGGAACACCAGUGGCGAAGGCGACACGCUGGGCCGUACCUGACACUGAACCGCGACAGCAUGGGGAGCAAACAGG